CGUUAAUAUUGACAAGUUUUGUCCAUCGAUGAGGUUGUGAACGCCUCUGUGUUUGGGACAUUUGCUCAAGAUGCGCACAAGAACAGUUCCUUCUUGUAAACACAGCCUCAAAUCAAGCUGUCUUCAUUUAGACCAUGUGUGCAAUCGCUAUGCCACAGCUCGUGCAUCGGCUCGGUGCUGAGCCUGCUGGCGUACAGUCUAUCUCAUCUG